rnacentral:rRNA from 1 species
GACGAACCGUGCAAACGUUAUUCGGAAUCACUGGGCUUAAAGGGCGCGUAGGCGGGUCGGCAAGUCUGCGGUGAAAUCCUCCAGCUUAACUGGAGAACUGCCGUGGAUACUGCCAGUCUCGAGGAGGGUAGGGGCAUCUGGAACAGCCGGUGGAGCGGUGAAAUGCGUUGAUAUCGGCUGGAACUCCGGUGGCGAAGGCGAGAUGCUGGACCCUUUCUGACGCUGAGGCGCGAAAGCCAGGGGAGCGAACGGG